rnacentral:rRNA from 1 species
CCUACGGGCGGCAGCAGUGAGGAAUAUUGGUCAAUGGGCGAGAGCCUGAACCAGCCAAGUCGCGUGAAGGAUGAAGGAUCUAUGGUUUGUAAACUUCUUUUAUAUGGGAAUAAAGUGAGGAACGUGUUCCUUUUUGUAUGUACCAUAUGAAUAAGCAUCGGCUAACUCCGUGCCAGCAGCCGCGGUAAUACGGAGGAUGCGAGCGUUAUUCGGAUUUAUUGGGUUUAAAGGGUGCGUAGGCGGACUGGAAAGUCAGCGGUAAAAUCGAGAGGCUCAACCUCUUUCCGCCGUUGAAACUGUCGGUCUGGAGUGGGCGAGAAGUAUGCGGAAUGCGUGGUGUAGCGGUGAAAUGCAUAGAUAUCACGCAGAACUCCGAUUGCGAAGGCAGCAUACCGGCGCCCGACUGACGCUGAGGCACGAAAGCGUGGGUAUCGAACAGGAUUAGAUACCCCUGUAGUC